GAAAUGCGAUAAGUAAUGUGAAUUGCAGAAUUCAGUGAAUCAUCGAAUCUUUGAACGCACCUUGCACUCCUUGGUAUUCCUUGGAGCAUGCCUGUUUGAGUAUCAUGAAAUCUUCAAAGUAAAUCUUUUGUUAACUCAAUUGGUUUCUACUUUGGUAUUGGAGGUCUUUGCAGCUUCACACCUGCUCCUCUUUGUUCAUUAGCUGGAUCUCAGUGUUAUGCUUGGUUCCACUCGGCGUGAUAAGUUAUCUAUCGCUGAGGACACUGUAAAAGGUGGCCAAGGUAAAUGCAGAUGAACCGCUUCUAAUAGUCCAUUGACUUGGACAAUACUUUUAUGAUCUGAUCUCAAAUCAGGUAGGACUACCCACUGAACUUAAGC
rnacentral:misc_RNA from 1 species